GCCUCGAGCAGCUGUCCUGGAUAAGGCGAUGCUCCGGGACUUCCACCGCAGGCAUCCAGGUAAGCCUGGUGGGUCGCCGGGAGGCUCCCGUUGAGGGGGGGGUACUGUCAUGGUCUCCGUGCCUGCCCAGCCGGCCCCACAAGGCUACAUGUUCUGUUUUGGUUCUCUCUCUCUCCCUCUCUGCCUGGGCGGAGCUCACUGCGGGCUCCCGCCCUUGGUCCACACACCUGUCAUCAAUCACCAGUCAUCACCAGGAGCAGUACUUGAGGCUGGGACACAGAUCCUCUCAUCGCUGGAUGAUUGUGUUUAACACUUUUCCUCCCUGGACCUGUGACCUCCCCGCUGUGUGGUUGUGUGUGAGUUGGAGUAAGAAGAGGAGACGAGUGCGCGAGCGUUUUCCCCUGGACCUUCCCUGGGACCCUUCUCCUACCCGGAUUUCCCCCACUGUACAUAUUCUGCACUUGGUGUUGUAAAUAAACUCUGUGUUGGAACUGA